GAUGGACCCGCGUCUGAUUAGCUAGUUGGUGGGGUAACGGCCUACCAAGGCGACGAUCAGUAGCCGGCCUGAGAGGGUGAACGGCCACAUUGGGACUGAGACACGGCCCAAACUCCUACGGGAGGCAGCAGUGGGGAAUAUUGCACAAUGGGGGAAACCCUGAUGCAGCGACGCCGCGUGAAGGAAGAAGUAUUUCGGUAUGUAAACUUCUAUCAGCAGGGAAGAAAAUGACGGUACCUGACUAAGAAGCCCCGGCUAACUACGUGCCAGCAGCCGCGGUAAUACGUAGGGGGCAAGCGUUAUCCGGAUUUACUGGGUGUAAAGGGAGCGUAGGCGGUAUGGUAAGUCAGAUGUGAAAACCCAGGGCUCAACCCUGGGACUGCAUUUGAAACUGCCAGACUAGAUUGCAGGAGAGGUAAGUGGAAUUCCUAGUGUAGCGGUGAAAUGCGUAGAUAUUAGGAGGAACACCAGUGGCGAAGGCGGCUUACUGGACUGUAAAUGACGCUGAGGCUCGAAAGCGUGGGGAGCAAACAGGAUUAGAUACCCUGGUAGUCCGCGC
rnacentral:rRNA from 1 species